rnacentral:miRNA from 1 species
UUUUAAAAUCGGUUCUUAAAUAACCGAUUUUAAAAGUAGCACUUUUAAAAUCGGUCAUAAAAUAACCGAUCUUAAAA